rnacentral:rRNA from 1 species
UACGGAGGGUGCGAGCGUUGUUCGGAUUUAUUGGGCGUAAAGCGCGUGUAGGCGGUUUAUUAAGUCUGAUGUGAAAGCCCCGGGCUCAACCUGGGAAGUGCAUUGGAUACUGGUAGACUUGAGUACGGGAGAGGAGAGUGGAAUUCCCAGUGUAGGAGUGAAAUCCGUAGAUAUUGGGAGGAACACCGGUGGCGAAGGCGGCUCUCUGGACCGAUACUGACGCUGAGACGCGAAAGCGUGGGUAGCAAACAGG